AACAAACGCUGGCGGCGUGCCUAAUACAUGCAAGUCGAACGGGGAAAGCUUUCGGGUGAGUACUAGUGGCGCACGGGUGAGGAACGCGUGGAUAAUCUGCCUUAGAGUGGGGGAUAACUAGUCGAAAGAUUAGCUAAUACCGCAUAAGACCACGAGAGCUGCGGCUUUUGAGGUCAAAGGUUUUUCGCUCUAAGAUGAGUCCGCGUAAGAUUAGCUAGUUGGUGAGGUAACGGCUCACCAAGGCGACGAUCUUUAACUGGUCUGAGAGGAUGAUCAGUCACACUGAAACUGAGACACGGUCCAGACUCCUACGGGAGGCAGCAGUAGGGAAUAUUGCACAAUGGAGGAAACUCUGAUGCAGCGACGCCGCGUGAGUGAUGAAGGCCUUCGGGUCGUAAAGCUCUGUCGCAGGGGAAUAACACAAUGAAGGUACCCUGUAAGAAAGGAUCGGCUAACUUCGUG
rnacentral:rRNA from 1 species